rnacentral:rRNA from 1 species
UAUUGGACAAUGGGCGAAAGCCUAAUCCAGCAAUGCCGCGUGAGUGAUGAAGGCCCUAGGGUUGUAAAGCUCUUUUACCCGGGAAGAUAAUGACUGUACCGGGAGAAUAAGCCCCGGCUAACUCCGUGCCAGCAGCCGCGGUAAUACGGAGGGGGCUAGCGUUGUUCGGAAUUACUGGGCGUAAAGCGCACGUAGGCGGCUUUGUAAGUCAGAGGUGAAAGCCUGGAGCUCAACUCCAGAACUGCCUUUGAGACUGCAUCGCUUGAAUCCAGGAGAGGUCAGUGGAAUUCCGAGUGUAGAGGUGAAAUUCGUAGAUAUUCGGAAGAACACCAGUGGCGAAGGCGGCUGACUGGACUGGUAUGACGCUGAGUGCGAA